AGAAGGAAGAAAGGAAGGAAGGAAGGAAGGAAAGAAGGAAGGAAAAUACUUUGUGUAAAUUUGCCAUAUUUAUGCUCCUUCUAUUAAAGCAUGUUUACUUGCACUGUGAUUUUAUCUUUUAAGCGAAAUAUUUCAAACAGGUAGAGAACAGUAUAGUAAAUGUCUAUGUACCCUCCCUCCUAGCAUAAAAAUUAUAAAGUUCAAUUCAUUUUUUCCUAGUUUUCGCUAACCCAGAGGGUAAUUUAGACCCUAUAUUAACAGUAACAAAUAGCGUUUUUUUUUAAAAAAAAUGUCUGUCCCAAAGGCUAGACAGCCCACAAGGGUUUCCCUCAUUAUUUUGGGAAAUUGUGUGAGGGUUGCUUUCUAACACCAGGAAUUUGCACAACCACAUGGAGUACAUGGUUCUCUCUGGCUCUGGCUCCAUCUCCCAGCAGAAAUGUCUGCUGCCAGUAGCUAUGGAAGGCACCUAAGGGCUGCUACUGCCACAGGUGCCACCUGCAGCUGACACUGUUGAAGCUAUACUUCAUUGGGUCCUUGGAGUGGUGACGGUGCUCUUGUUCUCCCUGGAGGUAGAAAAAGCCUUCUCCUCUUCUUGAGAUACAGGGAUCCUAAAUUAGUGUGGCUGGUGAUCACAACAUCUCAUCAAUAUUUGGUGAAACAGGCCUCACAGCUGUUCAUCAGACAAGUGAAUUAACUGACCAAUUGUUGUACUUAGAACCUUUGUGGUAUAGCUGUGGUUUGUGAUUUAUGGUAUAUCCAUAUGAUUAAGUACAAUGUACAGUUUUCAAAUGAUGAUUAUGAAAAUUAUGUGGCAAGAUAGUAACAUGGUCAUUACAUACUUUUAAGUAGAAAAAUCAGGAUUCAAAAUUAUAUGCAUAUUAUGAUUAAAACGUAUUACUUGUGAUUAUAAUAACUAUUAUGAUUUUACUUACAAACAAAUAAUUAGAGAACAUAGCCAUGUUAGGGGGAGGAUCAUAAGUUAUAUCAUAAUGACAGAAUUUAUUUUUCAGAAUGUUUAUUACAUAAAGUAAUAAAAUAUUUACUAUGUACUAAAAAUUGUUACCAAAUAUUAAGUAUUGCAUAAUCUUUCUGUUUUGUAAAACACUGUCCGAGCACCAGUACUAAAGGAUCUUUUAUACAGCUGAUUACGGCAAGAACCUGGAAUCAAUAAAAUAUGGUAUUUUUUUUCUUCGUCUCAAACUUUCUCUGUCUCUCUCUCACCCCUGGCUCCAUCUGCCUCUGCUUCUUCCUGUCCUUUUCCCUCUCUCUCUCUCUCUCUCCCCCUCUCCUCUCUCUCUCUCUGUCUCUCUCUCUCUCUCUCUCACACACACACACACACACACACACGAUUUGUUAAACUCAGAAGGGAAGAUUAAAAACAAAUAAUUCACCUAUAAUAAUAUACUAGUGUUUGUUUAAAGUUUGACUUUUUAAAUUAAGCUUUAAAAAGUUUAUUAUUUAGGGUCAUAGCAGAAAAAAAGAUGUAUAUUCAAAGGUUUGUCAUUGAAUACAGUUUAAUAAUGGGACUCUUUGCAAAGGUAUGGGCGGAUUAAGGGAGCUGGGAAGGAAGAGUGAGGCACCCAGGAACUAGCAACUCUGGGAAGUCAUUACCAUCCCUUUCCUGAAGGAGCAAGGAGGAGGGAAUUGACCUGGAACCUAGUGAGAGCUACAGCCUUGGGAGAGGAGCUGCCCGACAAGAGAUGCGGCCGUAAAGGAAAAAGCACAGCUGUAGAAACAGAAUGGAGAGAGGAGUAUGUAUCCUGGUCUGUCCUCCUGCCUUCUGAUUGCCCGCCAGUGCUUCCCACUGGCCAAACCUGACUGCAAGAUGGAGGCCAACGGAGCCUGGUGAUGCAGUCCCUGGAAGUCAGCCUCUUGACAUAGAGAAGGCAAAGAAGGGUGGAGAAUGAAUUUGGAGGGCCAAAUGGAGAAUAACCAGUACACAGCACUCAGCUUUUCCUUAUCAUAGGAGACAGGGCUGGAGUUUGGAUGGCUGUGUACUCUGCUGAUGGAAAUUUAUGGCUGUGUCCAUACGCUGUACUUUAUUUGCAACGAUGAUCUGAAAGUCUUCAGUUUCCUGCACAAUCCUGGACUGGUCAUGUCUCAGCCUGUGACCCAGCUGUUGUUGCGCUGGAGCUCUUUCAUCCUGUUUGCCAACUUAUAUCUCCUGUGUCCUGUAUCCAUGCUUUUUUCUUCUCGCACUUUAUUGGAGCACACAAAUAGAUUCCUUAGAAAGUCUUCAUAAGAAGCUAAUUUUCUGAGACCGUUCAUGUCAGAAUAUGUCCUUACUCUAACCCUUGACUAAUAGUUUGGCUGAGUGUAAAAUUUUAGACUAAGAAACAUUUGUUUUUCUAAAUAGGGCAUUGCUUAAUUUUCUUCUCACAAUUGUAUAUGUCAUUUUUUUCUCUCAAAAUUUCCCUUGAUCUGACUUUUUGGGAUAUUUCCUUAUCUUCCUAACCUUCUAUGUAUUAUUUUUAUUUUGGCCAACUAGUUCUUUUUAACCUUUGUUUUUCUCACAGCAUCCUCUUAUUAUUUUAAAGAUGUCAUUUAUCUGUAGAUAUGUGUAUACAGUAAAUAUACAAAUAUGUACACAAAUACACAUAUGGGUGUGCAUUUAUUUAAUCUUUCAGGAUAUGAGAUGUUACUUUUUAGAAGUUUUACUGUGUUCUCUGAAUUAUAUUGUUUUCUCCAGUUUUCAUUUUUCUGUUUAUUUUGGUUUCUCUCUUUUGCCUUAUGUAUUGUGAUAGUCAAUUGUUUUUAUUAGACUGAGGCAUCAAAAGCCGAUCUGAAUUGUAGUGUAUUCAUACAAUGGAAUAUUAUUCUAUCAUAAAAAUGAAUGAAGUACUGAUACAUAUAGUAACAUGGAUAAACCUCCAAAACAUUAUGCCAGUUGAGAGAAGUCAACGCAAAAGGUCACAUAUUGUAUGAUUCCUUUUGUAUGAAAUAUCUAGAAUAGAUACAUUCAUGAGAACAGAAUGGAGAUUGGUGAUUUCCAGGGGUCAGGGGAAGGGGAGAAUGGAGAGAAAGUGCUUAAUAGGAACAGAGUUUUACUUUGUAGCGACGGGGACUUGAUAGAGGUGGUGGCUGCAAACAUUACAAGUUUACUAAAUGUCACUGAAUCCUUCACUUUAAAAUGGUAAAUUUUAUGUGACCAUCUCUUCAAUAAAUUGAUUUUUUUUAAAGAGCU